rnacentral:rRNA from 1 species
UACGGGGGGGGCAAGCGUUGUUCGGAAUUACUGGGCGUAAAGGGCUCGUAGGUGGCCAACUAAGUCAGACGUGAAAUCCCUCGGCUUAACCGGGGAACUGCGUCUGAUACUGGAUGGCUUGAGUUCGGGAGAGGGAUGCGGAAUUCCAGGUGUAGCGGUGAAAUGCGUAGAUAUCUGGAGGGACACCGGUGGCGAAGGCGGCAUCCUGGACCGACACUGACGCUGAGGAGCGAAAGCCAGGGGAGCAAACGGG